ensembl:lncRNA ZNF433-AS1 ZNF433 and ZNF878 antisense RNA 1
AUUGCCUGGCUGCUAGAGGAAACCCGAAGUCGGGAUUCUUUCUUUCCUGCUCUGAGAGGGACCAGGUCCCUCCUCCGUAGCUUUUGUCUCUCUAUUGCCUGCGCCGUGUCCUGGACUGCUCACGGGAGUUCUGCAGGAGACGCCGGAAUAUCUGGAAGCUGAAAAAUGGUGACUCCCACGACCAGUGCGGGUCACAGCACAGGCGACAGAAGCUAUGGCAGAGGCACCUGAACCCUCUCGGAGGGGAAAGCCAGGCUCCCAACCUCAGCUCGCCGCCUGGAGCCGGGAACCGAGGAGAGCAGGGCCUUCGCCCUCCCCGAUGGACACUCGGCAGGCCCCGCCCAGCGCCCCUGAUUGGACGAAGCGCCGGGCCCCGCCCCCUCAGCCGUGAGUGACAAUAGAAGCCCUUGGUAACGGGGCUCUGAAAACGGGUUUGACCGGAUCCAGCGAUAGAUUCUUUAAGCCAGAGGUCUGUAACCUUUUUAGCACCAGAACCGGUUUCGUGGAAGACAGUUCUCCUACGGGGGCA